UACAUUAGAAUGUGAUACGUUUUGAUUAUAGAAACACUAUCAAUUCUAUUUACUCUUUCUUAGCAAUAUUUUGUUGGUUGUAGCUUCUUUGGGGAGUAAAUGGGUAUAAGUGUUUGUCUAAACACUCCUAAUCCAUCGCUAGCUCUUAUAAUUAGUCAAAUGCAUUGGAUUGUGACACAUUAUGACCAUAGAAACACUAACAAAGCUAUUUACUGUGUCUAAGCAAAUAUUUGUUGGUUUUAGCCUCUUUUGGGAUAAAAUGGGUAUAAUUGUUGUCUAAACACUCCUAAUCCAUCUCUAACUCUAUAAUUAGUCCAAUGCAUUGGAUUGUGAAACAUUUUGACUAUAGAAACACUAACAAAUCUAUUGACUGCUUUUAAGCAAUUUUUUUUGGUUUUAGCCUCUUUUGGCCGAAAAUGGGUAUAAGUGUUGUCUAAACACUCCUAAUCCAUCUCUAACUCUUAUAAUUAGUCGAAUGCAUUAAAUUGUGAUACAUUUUGACCAUAUAAACACUAACAAAGCUAUUUAGUGUUUCUAAGCAAUAUUUUGUUGGUUAUAGCUUCUUUUGGGAGAAAUGGGUAUAAUUGUUGUCUAAACACUCCUAAUCCAUCUCUAACCAUUAUAAUUAGUCAAUUGCAUUGGAUUGUGACACAUAUUGACCAUAAAAAUACUAACAAAGCUAUUUACUGCUUCUAAGCAAUGUUUUGUUGGUUUUAGCUUCUUUUAGAAGAAAAUGGAUAUAAUUGUUGUCUAAACACUCCUAAUCCAUCUCUAACUCUUAUAAUUACUCAAAUGCAUUAGAUUGUGAUAC
rnacentral:sRNA from 1 species